CCUACGGGAGGCAGCAGUAGGGAAUCUUUCACAAUGGGCGAAAGCCUGAAGGAGCAACGCCGCGUGCAGGAUGAAGGCCUUCGGGGGGUAAACUGCUUUUAUAAGCGAGAAAGAUGAUGGUAACUUAUGAAUAAGGAGCGGCCAACCACGUGCCAGCCGCCGCGGUCAGACGUAGGAGCCGAGCCUUAUCCGGAGUGACUGGGUGUAAAGAGUUGCGUUGGUGGUGUAAGCAGUCGCUAGUGAAAUCUGGUGGCUCAACCAUUCCGACUAUUAGCUAAACUGUUAAGCUCGAGACCGUUAGAGGUAACUGGAAUUUCUAGUGUAGGGGUGAAAUCCGUAGAUAUUA
rnacentral:rRNA from 1 species